UAGGGAAUCUUCGGCAAUGGGGGGAACCCUGACCGAGCAACGCCGCGUGAGUGAAGAAGGUUUUCGGAUCGUAAAGCUCUGUUGUUAAGGAAGAACGAGUGUGAGAAUGGAAAGUUCAUGCUGUGACGGUACUUAACCAGAAAGGGACGGCUAACUACGUGCCAGCAGCCGCGGUAAUACGUAGGUCCCGAGCGUUGUCCGGAAUAACUGGGCGUAAAGGGCACGCAGGCGGUGACUUAAGUGAGAUGUGAAAGCCCCGAGCUUAACUUGGGAAUUGCAUUUCAUACUGGGUCGCUAGAGUACUUUAGGGAGGGGUAGAAUUCCACGUGUAGCGGUGAAAUGCGUAGAGAUGUGGAGGAAUACCGAAGGCGAAGGCAGCCCCUUGGGAAUGUACUGACGCUCAUGUGCGAAAGCGUGGGGAGCAAACAGGAUUAGAUACCCUGGUAGUCCACGCUGUAAACGAUGUCGAUUUGGGGAUUGGGCUUUGAGCUUGGUGCCCGUAGCUAACGUGAUAAAUCGACCGCCUGGGGAGUACGGCCGCAAGGUU
rnacentral:rRNA from 1 species